UCCCUUCUCACAAAAUGUUUUCCCCUUUUUUCUCUCUCCCCAAAACCUUCGUCCAUUCUCUCUCACUAGAAACCCUAGUUCAAUAGUCCCCAAAAUCAAAUCUAUAAACCCUACACUGAAAUGAAAGCAAGAUGAUGAUUUAUCCUGUAUAAGGAAAAACGAGAUCUCUCCUGUGAAACAAAUACAAGAUUCACCCAUUCACGACUUCCUUCAAACAAAAACCAGUGUUUACGAUGGCCAUGGUGAGGGUGCUGAAACAGAUUGGAGUUUACUAUUGUGAGGUCCUUUAAUUGGAUUGGAUCCAUAAUGGACUCCAUUCACGACAUCGCCAGUCCAGUGAGGGUGUUCCUCAGAAUAUUCUUAGAGGAGAGCUCCUCAAGCUUGUUGACGGUGGAGAAUCCUAGAGAACCUUUGUUUACAUCAAAGAUGCUAUUGAAGUUGUUCUAUUGAUGAUGGAAAACCCUGCUAGAGCCAAUGACCAUAUCUUCAAUGUAGAUAACCCAAACAAUAAGGUUACAGUUAGGCAGCUUGCUGAAAUGAUGAUCCAGGUAAAAUGAUUAUUAUUAUCAUAUGGUUCUAACGUUAGGAUUUAACCUUGUUGGGAUUCAACAAUGAUGUUUUGUUCCAUGCUACAGGUCUAUUCAAAGGUAAGUGGGAAAUUUCUGGUUAAGGGCUUGAAUGUAUCACAUAAUUAUAUGACUUGAAAACUGAAUUAUGUUACUUCUAGUUGAUGUAUAUAGUUAAGUAUAAGCGCUGUUUUUCUGAUGUACUAUUUGUGUAUAGCCUCUAUUAUUUAAAGAAGUACAUAUGCAUUAGUGUUAGAAUACUUUUUUAUUAAUAAGAAGUUUUUUAUUAAUAUAAUUGAUCACACUUAUUUUUGCGGUCUAUUGCAUCUAGUUUAGUUUAUUCAUUCCACUUAAUAGAAAAAUGGGGGUUACUACUUUCCUUUAUGUUUUUGAAAUUCUGUUUAGAGUUGAAAUUGAUUUGGCUCUUAUGUUGGCACAUGCGUUUUUAAAUUCUAGGUAUGUCUACUAUAAUAAGAUGUGGCUCUCAUACAUCUUCUACAAACUAUAUUAUAGUUACGAGUUUAAUUCUAGGAUAAUUUUUCAAGUCUGUUAGUGAUUGGUUUCAAUCUUUAAAAACUCUGUUUUGUUAUUUUGACUUAGGCUUAUAUAACUUUAUGCUAUAUGUGUUUGAUUUUAGACAUGAAACUUACAUGUGUUACACUAAGUGGUUUGGGAUAGAAAAUAUCCUUUUUUUAAUAUAUGUAGGUUGAAGUCUAUCUUCUAGAUAAACUUUAGAUUUGAAAUUGUGUUGAUUUUUGUCUAACUAUUUCAACUCUGCGACCAUCAAAAGUGUGCAGUGAAGCUUCAUUAGUAGUUGAUUGAGCUAAAAGAUCUCUCCUAAUUAGAAGUCAUUUGAAUUAUUCAACAUCCUCCACCAAGAAGAAGAUUACCAAGAAAACUUAGUUUGUUAAUUUUUGUUUGGUAUGGAACUUUAAAAUUUUCAUAGAAGUUGUUGCGUACGACCGUCUUAAUUCUUUCAGUUUUGUAGGUGUGUUCGCUGUACCGGUACAUUACCCCCUAAAAUUUUUUGAAGCUGAUGUCAUUGUUGAGGAAUCUUUGAGUUUGAAGAAAUUAGAUCUUGCUGCAGUGGACCAACAACUUAACCAACUUCAAUUCAAUCUGAUAGUGAUGUUUAUUAGCUAAACCCAGAUCUUGCUGCUACCACCUCCACCAAUCUGGUUUUGUACAGUUGCUUUUAAGGAUGAAGGUGGAAUCAUAGCGCUAUAGAUUCAUGUGUGAGCAAGGUGGAAUCAUAUCUAGAUUUAAGAAUUAAGUAAGAGGCUGCAAGACUAUUUUGUUCUCUGCCAGAACAUGGAUUCAAUGUUUUUGGAACUUGGCUUAUUAUUUUUAGGAUAAGUUGAUUCUGUUAUAUUCUACUGAUUUUUAGUACUAAUUAUUUAUAUGCAAAUAUGUGUAAGUAUCAUUAAAUAUAUUUACAAGAAAAUAUAAGUUAAAUGAGUUUUUAAUAUAUUAAUGAUGUUUCAUUUAGCUUUUUAUAGUUACGUUAGAUAAUACAUAUAUAAAUAUAUA